rnacentral:misc_RNA from 1 species
AACAAAUCCUCCGAGAGCCAUGACUACCAACAUUGCAAAAGAUCCAAAGGUAUUAGCAACUAUCAUAUUUCUGCCUAGUGAUGCCAUCACACGGAAAAGUCCUAUUGACAUCUGAUGCAAUGAGAAAUACAACAGAAACUGACGGAAGCACCUGGUUAUUUGAGGAUCAAAGCCAACCACAUAGUAUGUAGCUGCAACCCAAAUAAUGGACUCUAAAAGUGAUGUGGGAAUACUCAAAAGCCAAGACGGAAGAGUGU